CAGCGCUGUCCCGUUGGAGGCCGGAGCCCAGCACCGAGGAUCCGAGGCACUCGCCAAGCCUGCCAGAGGUGCCUGGGAACUAUGGGUCGUGAGGAUUCUUGUCACCCCAUCCUUUCCACUCUGUGAAGCGUUUGCCGGAGGGCUCUUCGAAAUGUCACCUGCAGCAACCCAGUGUCAACUUCCCGCACUCAUCCCGCCAACUUCACCAGAGAGAAAAAGCAAGUCAGGAAGCACCUGGAUCCUGAUGUGCCCUGGGCCAGCCUGAGCAUACAGCAGCAGCCACGCACAUCCCAGUGGAGCUGCUAAGCUGAGCACUGACAGGACUCACCAGGAGUGGGAGAGUCCUCCAAGGCCUUCCCUCUGCUUUCCCACUGGCUCUCCUUAAGAAAGCAGGGGCACAGUCAAGAGCUGGUCCCUGAAGUCAACCCUGGCUCUGCCUUCCUGGCCCUCUGAUCUCUGCAAGUGACUUCAACAGUACUCAUCACUACUACUAUGUGUGGAUCAUGCAUGUGCCAUACCUAGCACAUGUGUUCAGAUUCACACCCUACUGGCUCUUGGCUCAUGAUUCCCCCUGGAGACCAGCAUGGGCCCCAGCCCCUGGGCUCUCAAAAUAGCCCCUCACAGCCAGGCCUCUGCCUGCCCUAAGGGCCCCAGCCUGGUCC
rnacentral:lncRNA from 1 species